UACGGGGGGGGCAAGCGUUGUUCGGAAUUACUGGGCGUAAAGGGCUCGUAGGCGGCCAACUAAGUCAGACGUGAAAUCCCUCGGCUUAACCGGGGAACUGCGUCUGAUACUGGAUGGCUUGAGAUUGGGAGAGGGAUGCGGAAUUCCAGGUGUAGAGGUGAAAUGCGUAGAUAUCUGGAGGAACACCGGUGGCGAAGGCGGCAUCCUGGACCAACACUGACGCUGAGGAGCGAAAGCCAGGGGAGCAAACGGG
rnacentral:rRNA from 1 species